UUGAACGCUGGCGGCAUGCUUUACACAUGCAAGUCGAACGGUAACAGGUCUUCGGAUGCUGACGAGUGGCGAACGGGUGAGUAAUGCAUCGGAACGUGCCCAGUCGUGGGGGAUAACGCAGCGAAAGCUGUGCUAAUACCGCAUACGAUCUAUGGAUGAAAGCGGGGGAUCGCAAGGCCUCGCGCGAUUGGAGCGGCCGAUGUCAGAUUAGCUAGUUGGUGGGGUAAAGGCCCACCAAGGCGACGAUCUGUAGCGGGUCUGAGAGGAUGAUCCGCCACACUGGGACUGAGACACGGCCCAGACUCCUACGGGAGGCAGCAGGGGGGAAUUUUGGACAAUGGGCGCAAGCCUGAUCCAGCCAUGCCGCGUGCGGGACGAAGGCCUUCGGGUUGUAAACCGCUUUCAGCCGGAAAGAAAUCGUCAAGGCUAAUAUCCUUGAUGGAUGACGGUACCGGAAGAAGAAGCACCGGCUAACUACGU
rnacentral:rRNA from 1 species